GUUACACCUGACGUGAUGAUGUUACACCUGACGUGAUGAGGUUACUCCUGACGUGAUGAUGUUACUCCUGACGUUACCUGGAUAAGCCAGGUACCCCGCUUCGUGGUACAGGCCUCUGGUCUCUUAUUUUGAAAGGCCCGAACACGUCCCGGUUCCUCCGGGGUCCGGUGCCGGACUUUAAAGGAGCCCCAGCUGAGGGCCGCGUGAUGAAACCCAGGACAGAGCUGAAGUUCGGACUCACCGGACCCAUGCUGGACCUAUGCUGGACCUAUGCUGGACCUCCGGACCUCCGAGUAGAAGUUUGUUUCGGUGGAGAAGCUGCAGUUUGUCGCCCCACGCGCGCUGAUCAGGGAAGCGGGUUCACGUCGGUAACCCGGAAACGAACCCCUCCUCUGCAGAACAGCGCCCCCAGCGGCGGGAGGGCAACGCGCACAAAACAGUCUUCUUCUUCUUCUUCUUCUUCUUCUUCUUCUUUAUGGCACACAACGAGAUGGUGCAUUAGCGCCACACACAUGAAUACACAAGAAUAAAACUCAGAUCCUCUCAGUCACAUUGAUUCCUCUAAGAUAAUUAAAUUCCAUAGCACUUCU